rnacentral:pre_miRNA from 1 species
ACGGUACUUCCUCCGUCUGAAAAUACUUGUCAUCAAAAUGGAUAAAAAGAGAUGUAUCUAGAACUAAUAUACAUCUAGAUACAUCUUCUUUUAUUUAUUUUGAUGACAAGUAUUUCCGGAUGGAGGGAGUAUGAU